rnacentral:lncRNA from 1 species
GAGCUGAUAUGUAAAUUGAGUAUGCUUGAAAGCUCCAGAAUUGGCCAAAGACUUGAAAUAUUCAAGUGCCAAACCAAUAUCUCUCUCAUGUUUCAAUCUCUUCAAUACAUGGAACUCUUCAACAGAAGGAGCAUUAGUGGGUUGAGGUUGGGAAUUACUUUCAAGAUUGAAAAUUGGGUUCGUGUUAAGCACCAAGGGAAUUGAAGGCUUGCGCACUUUUAACAACAAGGAACACCCAUCUCUCAAAUACAUGAUUAUAGUAUCGGAAAAAAAUUGCUGUGAGAUAAGAGAAUUGAGUUAGCUUUAAGAAGCUGGAAUAUACUUGGAAAAAAAGUUAAAAUAAACGUGUUUAACUGUUCAUGCUUUGUCUGUGUCUACGAAAUUUAGAGUAUGGUCUCCGCAAAAUCCAAUUUUCUUCUUUAUUUUAUAUUCAUGAAUGGAUCUAUGCCCAAUAAGGAUGAUGUUUUGAUCCUAUUCAAUUUUAUUUCGAGGCUUUUGCUUAUAUAUUUUCUGUUAACCAGCCCAUAUUAGUUAGGAAAUUAGGAAUCUUCCACCCAAAAAAGAGCGGAACAAAGGGUCAAAUAAAAUGGGUAAAUUGUAGAGGAUAGCUGUGAACAAAAAACAGCAGUUCAGGUCAGAGUGUGAUUACAAUUCAAAUUGGCAAUUGCUUUUGCAGUAACUUGUCCCCAAGAGUACAAACAAAGAUAUACCUAAACAAAUAGGACAUAGACUUACUUUUUGAUGUCCUCCAGAAUGGCUUUUGCGCCUCUAUACAUCUGCAGAAGUUGAACCAUAUAAAUCAAGUAAUUCCCAUGAUACUUCAACAGCUAUAAUAGACAAUUUUGAGGACAGGACUCACAGUUGAUCCACAGUCACCAUCACCAACUUUACUGUCCCAAUCAUUUAGGCUGUCCUUAAGAUCUAGAAUAACAUUUGCAGCGGUUUCAAUGGCAAUCUCAAGGACUUGGCCUUGCUCACUUAGCUGCAGAGGUCGUCUCUGUGGCUUAUGUAAAGUAAACAUAGGAACCAUAUUUCAAAAAUUAUAUCAGGAUAUAAGUACAUAUACAGUUGACUUGAUUAACAUAGAUUUAAUAAAACUCAACCAGCUUUCAAAUGAUAUUGACAAGUCAAUUCUAUUUUUACCAGAUUCACCAAUAGCAUGAACAUGUGAGAAAGGAGAAUAAUCAUAACUAUGAGAAAUAUAUUAUGAUCAUGCCAAAGAUAUCACGAGAAAAAUCAGUGGCCAGAUGCUGGUUUUGGGCUUCCAGCAAGAAGUACAGAAAUUGAUGGUGGAACGAAGCAUAAACAUAAACAUGAAUUAUGACAACUCAGUAAGGUAUCAUUUGAUCCAUAUAGCUAACUUCACUUAGUUGGACAAGACUUGGUUGUUGUUGAUGCAGUAUGCACUAGGAAGUAUUACAAAGCACAGAGAUUCUUGGAUGGAAAGGACACAAGUCUAACAAUUCACUGGCUUUUCAAGGUAAAUUCAAUUGUUAUUGUGUCACAUCAUUUUUUCCUGAGUGUCUCUAUAUGUAAGUUGUUAAACUAGUACUCGUCACAGAAUUUUUCUAUGUGGAAAGGGUGGUGUAAAUUUCUAAUAAAAAUAUUCAACCAUGUCGAAAUGCCACUAACCAGUGAGCCAAAUAAACUUGUAUCAAACAUGUUUGAAUAUAAUUUUCCUUUAACUACUUCUCAACCACAACUGCUAAAUGUCAUGGAAGAAAUGAUGUAAUUCCCCGUGUAUGAAGUAUAUACCUCAUUGCCCUUUGCUGAUGGAGAUGGCGGGACUGGAAUAGGAAUCUUAGUAGGCGGGUGAACACCUUAAAAGAGAAGAAAGUUCAAAAGUUCAAUGAACUAGUAGUUUAAUGGUUCCAUCAAUAUUACAUUUGAACAAACAUUAUCCAGAGGUAAAAGCCAAGUUAUUAGAAUAAUCCAGCUAUUAACAACUAAAGAAAUUACUGACCAUCAACUCCAACAGGCCAAGACGGUGCUUUGGUACUGGCAUCUGAUCGCUCAAGUUCAUAAACAAUAUAAGAGAAUUUAAGUCCUACAAAAUUACCAUAAUUUAAGGCCAUCAUUAUUCAAUCAUUAAAGAAUCUGAAAUUGCUUGUCAUCCAUUUCCCAAGAUAUCAUCCAAGAUACGUGUUGGUCCCAUAUGACCCAUGUUGUUAAAGAAACCUCGAAUUAACACAUCCCAAGUGGCAACAUUGGGAAGGAUUCCUUUACUCAACAUCUUAUUAUGAAGAUACACAACGGCUUCUUCAGUGCCUAACCAAUUGCAAAUACCCCACAAGAUACAAGUAUGUGAUAUUAUGUCUGGAUACAACUCCUUUUCUUCAGUAUAUUUAUCCAAAAUUUGCAUGGCAGUUCUAACCUUACCCAACUUACUAUAUGCAUGAAUAAUUACAUUGACUGUAAUGGCGUCGGGAUUUACUCCAUUCACCAACAUUUUCCCCAGAAUUUGGAAAACCCGUUCUUGCAUCCCAACAGAAGAAAAUCCAUGCAUAAUAAUGUUGUAAGUGAUCGUAUUUAGUUCCACAUUCCUGUCUUCAAUAUCCUUUAUAAGUCCACAAGCUUCUCUGAAUCUGUUCACCCUAAAAAGACCAUCCAACAACUCAUUAUAUGUUCUAAUAUUAGGCAAACAAUCAUAUUUCUCCAUCUGAUGAAGUACACUCAUGGCCCCUUCUACUCUUCCGUUAGCACACAAGCCCUUGAUCAAUGUGUUGAAUGUGACAACAUUUGGUGGGCAACCAUCAGCAACCAUAUUUUCAAUAAGACUAUGAACUUGGUUAAACAUAGACAUUUGACAAAGAACAUCCACCAUAGUGGUGUAUACCACAACAUUAGGAUGGCAACCGCAAUUUAUCAUCUUGUUCCAUAUUGCAGAGGCACCUAGCAAGUCCCCAGCUUUUGCGAAACCGGAUAUUAAAGUGCUAUAUGUGGUCACAUUUGGACUGCAAGAGCUUUUCUCCAUCUGAUUACAAAUAGAUAUGGCAUCAGCCAUAUUCCCAAUGCGGCACAAACCGUGUAUGAGGGCAUUGUAUGAAACAACAUUCGGCUUAAUUCCCUCCAUAAUCAUAAGGUUCCACAAUUCAAGAGCUUCACCAAGUUUCCCUCCCAAUAAAUAGCCUUUUAUGAGCGAAGAAUAAGUAUGAAUAUUAGGGCUGCAUCCUCUCUCAAGCAUUUGUGCAAAAGCAGCAAGAGACAAGUCAAUAUUUCCCAUAUCAGAAAGACAACUGAUAAUAGUAGAGUAACUGAUAACAUUUGGGUCAAUGCCCUUAAACACCAUCUCAUUCAACAAACAAAAUGCCUCCUUUAUUUUGUAUUCUUUGCAAAAGCCAUUGAUCAAAGCAUUGUAGACAGGUACUACAGGAGCAAACCCCUUGGCUAGCUCCUUUGCCUUCUCUACUUGACCAAGUUUACAAACAGAAGACACUAUAGUAGUGUAACUCACAGCAUCUGGAGGACAACCCUUAUUCGACAUUUCUUCAAGCAGCUUGCAGGCACCAUCCACCUUCCCAUUCUUACAUAAUGCCUUGAGAAGCAUGUUAUAUGUGAACCCAUUUGGUUCCAACCCUUCACCCUUCAUGUUGUUAUACACAGGACUAAUCAUCUGAAACCUAUUUUCACCAAGCAAUGCAUCUAAAAGGUGAUUGUAUAUCUUAACUGUGGGCUUGCACCCAAAUUCCCUUAUCCUAUAAAACAUCUUUAAAGCUUGAUCAGCCAACCCUGCUCUCCUAUAUGAAUUCAUCACACAUAUGAACAAAUCUUCAGAGCAAGCCACACCUUCAAGCUUCAUCUGCUGCAAUAGAUACUGAACACCAUCCAUUUCACAGUUUCUCCCAAGCUUCUCAAUCAUGAGCUGAUAUGUAAAUUGAGUAUGCUUGAAAGCUCCAGAAUUGGCCAAAGACUUGAAAUAUUCAAGUGCCAAACCAAUAUCUCUCUCAUGUUUCAAUCUCUUCAAUACAUGGAACUCUUCAACAGAAGGAGCAUUAGUGGGUUGAGGUUGGGAAUUACUUUCAAGAUUGAAAAUUGGGUUCGUGUUAAGCACCAAGGGAAUUGAAGGCUUGCGCACUUUUAACAACAAGGAACACCCAUCUCUCAAAUACAUGAUUAUAGUAUCGGAAAAAAAUUGCUGUGAGAUAAGAG